rnacentral:rRNA from 1 species
CAUGCAGUCGAGCGAUGAAGCUUCCUUCGGGAAGUGGAUUAGCGGCGGACGGGUGAGUAACACGUGGGUAACCUGCCUCAAAGUGGGGGAUAGCCUUCCGAAAGGAAGAUUAAUACCGCAUAAUAUAAGAGAAUCGCAUGAUUUUCUUAUCAAAGAUUUAUUGCUUUGAGAUGGACCCGCGGCGCAUUAGCUAGUUGGUAAGGUAACGGCUUACCAAGGCAACGAUGCGUAGCCGACCUGAGAGGGUGAUCGGCCACAUUGGAACUGAGACACGGUCCAGACUCCUACGGGAGGCAGCAGUGGGGAAUAUUGCGCAAUGGGGGAAACCCUGACGCAGCAACGCCGCGUGGGUGAUGAAGGUCUUCGGAUUGUAAAGCCCUGUUUUCUAGGACGAUAAUGACGGUACUAGAGGAGGAAGCCACGGCUAACUACGUGCCAGCAGCCGCGGUAAUACGUAGGUGGCGAGCGUUGUCCGGAUUUACUGGGCGUAAAGGGUGCGUAGGCGGAUGUUUAAGUGGGAUGUGAAAUCCCCGGGCUUAACCUGGGGGCUGCAUUCCAAACUGGAUAUCUAGAGUGCAGGAGAGGAAAGCGGAAUUCCUAGUGUAGCGGUGAAAUGCGUAGAGAUUAGGAAGAACACCAGUGGCGAAGGCGGCUUUCUGGACUGUAACUGACGCUGAGGCACGAAAGCGUGGGGUAGCAAACAGGAUUAGAUACCCUGGUAGUCCACGCCGUAAACGAUGGAUACUAGGUGUAGGGGGUAUCAACUCCCCCUGUGCCGCAGUUAACACAAUAAGUAUCCCGCCUGGGGAGUACGGUCGCAAGAUUAAAACUCAAAGGAAUUGACGGGGGCCCGCACAAGCAGCGGAGCAUGUGGUUUAAUUCGAAGCAACGCGAAGAACCUUACCUGGACUUGACAUCCCUUGCAUAGCCUAGAGAUAGGUGAAGCCCUUCGGGGCAAGGAGACAGGUGGUGCAUGGUUGUCGUCAGCUCGUGUCGUGAGAUGUUAGGUUAAGUCCUGCAACGAGCGCAACCCUUGUUAUUAGUUGCUACCAUUAAGUUGAGCACUCUAAUGAGACUGCCUGGGUAACCAGGAGGAAGGUGGGGAUGACGUCAAAUCAUCAUGCCCCUUAUGUCCAGGGCUACACACGUGCUACAAUGGUAGGUACAAUAAGACGCAAGACCGUGAGGUGGAGCAAAACUUAUAAAACCUAUCUCAGUUCGGAUUGUAGGCUGCAACUCGCCUACAUGAAGCUGGAGUUGCUAGUAAUCGCGAAUCAGAAUGUCGCGGUGAAUACGUUCCCGGGCCUUGUACACACCGCCCGUCACACCAUGAGAGCUGGUAACACCCGAAGUCCGUGAGGUAACCGUAAGGAGCCAGCGGCCGAAGGUGGGAUUAGUGAUUGGGGUGAAGUC